UUGAACGCUGGCGGCAGGCCUAACACAUGCAAGUCGAACGGUAACAGGAAGCAGCUUGCUGCUUUGCUGACGCGUGGCGGACGGGUGAGUAAUGUCUGGGAAACUGCCCGAUGGAGGGGGAUAACUACUGGAAACGGUAGCUAAUACCGCAUAACGUCGCAAGACCAAAGAGGGGGACCUUAGGGCCUCUUGCCAUCGGAUGUGCCCAGAUGGGAUUAGCUAGUAGGUGGGGUAACGGCUCACCUAGGCGACGAUCCCUAGCUGGUCUGAGAGGAUGACCAGCCACACUGGAACUGAGACACGGUCCAGACUCCUACGGGAGGCAGCAGUGGGGAAUAUUGCACAAUGGGGGCAAGCCUGAUGCAGCCAUGCCGCGUGUAUGAAGAAGGCCUUCGGGUUGUAAAGUACUUUCAGCGGGGAGGAAGGGAGUAAAGUUAAUACCUUUGCUCAUUGACGUUACCCGCAGAAGAAGCACCGGCUAACUCCGUG
rnacentral:rRNA from 1 species